GGCCACUUCGGUGGUACUCGAGCGGCGAACGGGUGAGUAACACGUGAGUAAUCUGCCCUUGGCUUCGGGAUAGCCACCGGAAACGGUGAUUAAUACCGGAUAUGACCGUCUGCCGCAUGGUGGGUGGUGGAAAGUUUUUUCGGCCAGGGAUGUGCUCGCGGCCUAUCAGCUUGAUGGUGAGGUAAUGGCUCACCAUGGCUUCGACGGGUAGCCGGCCUGAGAGGGUGACCGGUCACACUGGGACUGAGACACGGCCCAGACUCCUACGGGAGGCAGCAGUGGGGAAUAUUGGACAAUGGGCGGAAGCCUGAUCCAGCAACGCCGCGUGAGGGAUGACGGCCUUCGGGUUGUAAACCUCUUUCAGCAGGGACGAAGCGCAAGUGACGGUACCUGCAGAAGAAGCACCGGCCAACUACGUGCCAGCAGCCGCGGUAAUACGUAGGGUGCGAGCGUUGUCCGGAAUUAUUGGGCGUAAAGGGCUCGUAGGCGGUUUGUCGCGUCGGGAGUGAAAACCAGGUGCUUAACACCUGGCUUGCUUUCGAUACGGGCAGACUAGAGGUAUUCAGGGGAGAACGGAAUUCCUGGUGUAGCGGUGAAAUGCGCAGAUAUCAGGAGGAACACCGGUGGCGAAGGCGGUUCUCUGGGAAUGACCUGACGCUGAGGAGCGAAAGUGUGGGGAGCGAACAGGAUUAGAUACCCUGGUAGUCCACACCGUAAACGUUGGGCGCUAGGUGUG
rnacentral:rRNA from 1 species